GCUAGUUUUUUGUAUUUUUUAGUAGAGACGGGGUUUCACCAUAUUAGCCAGGAUGGUCUCGAUCUCCUGACCUCGUGAUCCGCCCGUCUCGGCCUCCCCUUUUUCUUAUUACCUGUAAAAACGGGUGAGCUCCUAGGUUUCCCUGUCUAUGCCUCCCGAGAAAAGAGAGGCAUAGUUAUAGGAAACUGGAAAGAUAAUGAGUGACCUCCUGAAAUGAUCAUACGGUAUUAUGGGCCUGCCACAUGGGCACAAGACGGCUCAUGGGGAUACCGAACCCCCAUCUACAUGCUCAAUCGGGUCAUACGGUUGCAAGCCGUCUUAGAAAUAAUUACUGAUGAAACUGGCAGAGCUUUGACUGUUUUAGCUCGGCAGGAAAUGCAAAUGAGAAAUGCUAUCUAUCAGAAUAGACUGGCCUUGGACUACUUGCAGCUAAAGGAGGAGUCUGUAGAGAAUCUGACUUCACCAAUUGCUGCCUACAAAUAGAUGCUCAAGGACAGGUGGUUGAAAACACAGUCAGGGACAUGACAAAGUUGGCACCUGUGCCUGUACAGGUUUGGCGUGAGUUUGAUCCUGGGUCUUUAUUUGGAAAAUGGUUUCCAGCUAUAGGAGGAUUUAAAACCCUCAUUGUAGGUGUAUUGCUAGCAAUAGGAACUUGCUUGCUGCUCCCCUGUGUAUUGCCUUUGCUUUUUCAAAUGAUAAAGACUUUUGAGCCGGGCGCGGUGGCUCAAGCCUGUAAUCCCAGCA